UACGUAGGGGGCAAGCGUUGUUCGGAAUUACUGGGCGUAAAGCGCGUGUAGGCGGAGGGGUGUGUCGAACGUGAAAGGCUGCGGCUCAACCGCAGAGCGCCGUUCGAAACUGCCUUUCUUGAGGGCCGAAGAGGAGAGUGGAAUUCCCGGUGUAGCGGUGAAAUGCGUAGAGAUCGGGAGGAACACCCAUGGCGAAGGCAGCUCUCUGGGCGGUCUCUGACGCUGAGAUGUGAAAGCGUGGGGAGCGAACGGG
rnacentral:rRNA from 1 species